rnacentral:rRNA from 1 species
UACGUAGGAUGCAAGCGUUGUCCGGAAUUAUUGGGCGUAAAGAGCGCGCAGGCGGUAACUCAAGUCAGAUGUGAAAUAUCCGGGCUUAACCCGGAGGGGUCAUUUGAAACUGAGUAACUAGAGUACAGCAGAGGAUAGCGGAAUUCCCGGUGUAGUGGUGAAAUGCGUAGAUAUCGGGAGGAACACCAGUGGCGAAGGCGGCCACCUGGACGAACACUGACGCUGAGACUCGAAAGCGUGGGGAGCAAACAGG